GGUUUCCAAAGUAGGAACCAUGGGAGUGAGAAUCCUGGCAGCGAGCUCUCUGUCAAUACUCUUCACAUCAGAGCUGAGGCUGAAAUGACUCUGUUCUAUCGCCAGCCGUUAGUCACAGCUUCUGGUAUGUCCUGAUCAUGAUGUGCACUCUCUAAAGACUGUCAGUCCCCUGCUGCUCGGCCACUCUAUGAGAAAGUAUAGGGUGACUAAAGAUGUGAUUGGGGAAAGAGACAGACAGGGGGAGAAUAUAGAAAGAGGGACAGAGCUAAGAUCUAGGUCUUUAAAGUCUAGUGAAAGAAUCUUUAUCUCCUGUACCUCAUCCCUGUCUAUUUUAGUGUAGACUGCGUGAUCCUCCACAGACACAGCCAAUUCCUUUAUUUUGAAAACUUUUUUGCUUCUCG